UGUAGUCUGUAUAGCAGCCAAAUGAGUUGUCUGAAAAAAAAAUUAUAUUGUUGUGAUUCUUGGAAGAUGUAUGUUGAGGUGUCUAAGAAUUUAGACGAUGUUCUACGUGCACUGCGGUGUCACCAUUUGCAGGUCUCCAGAGCUUCAAAGCAAGCUAGGUGUUUGUUGAGUUGUUGACAAAUAGUUUGAAGGAAUCCUCUGGUUUACCUUGGUUCAUUAAGUUCUCGGUGAAUAAUUACGAGUCAGCAACAGUCCAGGAAAACAGCACAAAAAGACCGAGAGAAGGAAGGACACUGGCUGGACCCAGUCUGCCCGAUUUAUCACUCUUUCACUAAAGCUGUGCCAGAGAACAGAGGUGCCAAACUCGGGUGUCUCUAAUUAUACCAGCUGCUCAGGAGUUUGGGUUGCAAUUGCGCUGCACUCACCUUUCCUGUAAGAGAUCCAUAAGUCCGAAGUUCCUGGGACUCGUAGGAAGAAAUCAUUGCGAAUGCAGAGUGUCUGGCUUAAAGGGACGUGACACGGUACUCGUUUCAAGGACACCCAACAGUGGAGUGAGUUUCUGCCCAGUGCUCGGGCUCUGAAGACUGGUGGUCCACUGAACUCCUCCGCCAGCGUUGUGUCAUGUCUGCAGCUCACCUAAAAAGACGGAUUCCACUAUUUCCUGACCACACAUGGAUUUGAUGAGCUGGUGGCAAAUUCCAAGGUGAUCGGUGGACGCAACACCAUGUACAAUAUAGACUUAUUUAUCACUUCAUUGUCGCCUGUCGUGUUUGCAGUGGUCGAAAGGUCCUAAUGAGAACUACUGUAUAUGCUCUAUUGCUUUUGCUCUUGUCGUACCAAAUGCUGAUAUAGCUUGUCACAGCACCACCAUAUUCUUCAAACAACUUUUCUGUACUUGAUUCCCAAAUAAUUGGGAAACAAUUGCUACCCCAUCAGUAACGUACAGUAUGAUACCCUGUACUUGGAAUAUUGUCAAUUUACUUAUAAGAGUUUGUGGGGUUUUGGUUUGGAAGGGUGAGGAGUUGAUGUUUGUGUGUAAUGUACCUGAACCUGACUGAAUUAUUUACAGAACAGUGUGGGGGCAUUGUGUGUGUGCAUUCUAGGUCCAGAGGAACACAGCUGGAUUCACUGCAGAAAGGACUCCGGGCAUCAGGUGAGGCUUCUGCAGUGCUCAGCGUGCUCAGUGUGCAGGUUAUUUCCCUGCAGAGGGGAGCUGUGGAAUGAUCAAUGGACACGGGGGCUCACCAGGAUUGAAAUGAGCUAGGGCCCUCAUCUGAGCAUGAAUCACAGGGCUUGCAGGUGAAAUCAACGAGCAGUCUCCUCGUACGAAUUAGCUGUCUCCAGUUCUGAGAGUUACUGUGCAUGUCUAUAAUAGGAUUUAAGGGCGUUUUAAUAAGACUAAAACAGAUGCAAAUGACUUUGACAUGCAGCUUAGGGCAGUGUAAUUACUCCCAGGCUGGAUUAAAAGCACGGUUGUUUUCAUUUCACUUCCAUUAAUUGAAAGUAGGGACAGUUGAUUGGAGUUUGGUUGACGGCUUCUUGUCUGUAUUGAGGUGUGCACACAUCAGUCUGUGUUCCUUAGUGAAGUGUCCUGAGUCUCUGUCCUUGUGUUGGGCUGUUUCUCACCUUUUGUUUAUUUUUUCAAAAGUUAAUUAUUAUUUUUGCCACUUUAAUUUUCUCAGAUCGGCUCAGUUCUGAGUCUGGCAAGCGGGUCAGACAGAGAAGGUACAGGUUUGAAGUGCAGGUUGAGCCCAGUGCUGCCAGGAUGCUCCAGGUGGCAUCACCGUGCCACUUGGGUUGGGUAUAAUUCAGCUGGUCCUGCCCAGUGUCUUGCCAGGCACACGUUUGUGUUCUCAGUGCUGCCGGUUUCACAGUUGUUUCAGAGUGUCCUACGGGUGCUGUAGGCCUUACAGUGGCACUGUCUCUACUCUUCACCUGUCCCCGGCUGGUGUAAGGGUCAUCAUCAGGUUGACAGACAGUCAACAAUUUUGAAUUAUGGUGCAAAAUAAAAAGAUAACCGGUGAUACCGAAGUGAAAACAAACAACUAAAAGGCUUCAUUCACUUUAAACAUUGUGAUACCAGAAUUGUACAGAUUAAGACUUUCAGGACUCUCCGUGUUAGCACGGGAAGCACAUACGAACAGCAUUCUAAUUAAGUUCUUUGUAGGACAGUAACAUUUUCCUAGCUCCCUGAAAGGGUUAACUUGCUGACAUCCUGAGGGAAACCCAGCUGUCCUUUAGUGUCUUCUGCCGAUCAAUUCACUUUUCAGAUAUUUCUGCUUUGAAUUUCUAAUCAGACUUCCAUGAAGUUGCUUUAUUAUUUAUAGACUGCUUAAUUCAGUGUUCUAGUUUUGGGGGGCAGUGGAAAUGUUGUAAAUUACUCGAUAUCGGUGAGGGUCUGCAUCUUUCUCCUUGGUUAUCGUUGUGAUUAUUCCUGCGGCCCGGCUGUCUCAUUUGGAAUGCGUCCUGCAGUCCCUGUGUCUGGAGUUCAUCACCUUGGAGGUCUCGGAUUUCACUCAGCGGCUGUGAGUUCCAGUUUGACGGAAUAAAAAGAGUGAUGGACGGUAUUGAUUACCUCGUGGUGAGGUGGAUGUGUUUGCAGUUACGGAAACGGGUUUUACUUGGACUCAAUCCAUCUUGACUGGCUGAGAGUGAUCAGAGCUGGAACAGGUCACUGUUGUUUUUGGUGCUGUGGAUUCCGGUUCCCCCACAUGUUCACUUUAAUUAAACAAAAAUCCUGAAGGUGGCAGGAAUACUAUUUUUUUUUCUGAAUGACAGGUCUCAUAAAUAAGAAAUAUCCCUCCGGUUUUUAGAAUAGAGCUCCUCGUCUUCAGCCCUCAGUGGUCUUCCUAUUUCAACUGCCCCGAGCUCAUCAUUACCUGCCUGGGCUCCCUGUUGCCUUCAUGGGACCCAUUGAACUUUGUUUUCUCCUUUGGCCGGAGAUGGUGUUUAUUUACAGGGAAUUAUACCACCUGCUGGACUCGGUCUGGACCCCUGAAGACCAGAAUGGAAUGACUUUGUUGAAAAUGUUUCACUCGAUAUUGAUGGAUGAAAACUCCAAAGACAUCCAAAGUGGUUUUCAAAAUUUACCUAUAGCAUACCUUCAUUUUCAGCAGGUGUUCCAAAUUAAUAUGAAGGUUUACCAGACUUUAAUGUGCAUAUUGCAUUUCGUGGUAGUGCUGAUGCCAUCAUUCCUGACACAUAUAGCAGGUUUACACAGACCUCUGACAUAUUUAGAAACCGGCUCUGUGUGACACUGAAUCCAUAAAUCACACUGAGGCGAUCUGUAGUGAAAGGCUGGCCCUUUCACUGUGGGAGGUACAGUAGGAACACAAAUGAAUUUUAAAAAAUGCAUGCAUUAAAUAUUUAAAUUUGCUACCAUCCAAUAUUAAAGAUAUAUCAAAUAUUAAAAUGUGCAAACUGAAUAUUGAAUUGCUGUGUUACUCGGUACAUUUCCACUGAGCUGCACUGGUGAUAGGAAAUGGACAAAUUCUAUAAGAAGUAAAUUACAAUGCAAACAAAAGGACAAAGACUGCUACACUGAGUGUUAUAUAUAAAUCUUUUUUUUUUUUUGCCAAGAUGAUAAGCCCUUGUCUGGAUCUCUGUGUGUUGAAAGAAGCAAGAAAGCCAUUAAAACACUGUGGAGGCAUGAAGAUAUUCUUGGCUUUGCCUUGAUAAUAGAGAAUGAGGAGUCAGGUAUGACUGUCAGCUCCUGAACUCAGCCUUCUUCACUGACCAUCAUCAGUGUGGUUGACAGAGCCCACAUCCUGCCUGCAAGACUCCUGUUCAACCAGUACCAGAACACAGGUCUCCUCAGUGAUGAAUGAAUGAUGAAUCCCCAGGCUAUACUAACGUUUAUUUUAAAUUUAUAUUUUUUCUACCUAAUCUGACCGCCAGCAAUAGUCAAUGUGUAAAUGGAAUCCCAAGAGACACCCUGUCAUUGAGGGCUAUAAAUCUGGAGUUACAAAAUUAUAGAGACAAUCUUUUUGAUAAAAGUGCUUUAGACACACAGUGUCGGAGUUAGCAACAUGUUAUUGGUCUGAAAUUCUAGACAAUAAAAUGACCUGGUUUGCUCUUUAAAUGCAGUUUAGUCCCCUUUUAGGGACAGGGAAUAACAUUUGAUAAUUUUUCCAAGUGUAACCAGCUACCAUGUUUUCCUGUAGUUGGGAGUGGGUGGUAGGUGCUGAUCCCAUGGCUGAUAUCAAACAAUCAUACAAUAUUUAAUUAAUCUGGGUCAUUUUGAUUACAGAAGGGGUCAAUUAGAAGUAACAGCUAAUUACAAACUGGAUGUUUUUUGGUGGGACUAAGUGUGAUUAAUAUCUCGAGAGUGUUAAUGUAAUGAUCAGACAAAAGAUUUGCAGGAGAGAUAAAUUGUUUGUUUAAAGCUUUAAAGUACUGCAGAACAUUAUUUCUCUCCUCCAUAUUCAGCUCAUUAAUUACACUUUGCAGGCUGGUUGUUGUUCCUUUUUAAUGUAAUGAAAGCACUUGAAUUUGACAGCUGUUUAUGCAUUCCGAGCUUGUUUUACAGCAGAUUUUUGUGAUAUUAUUUAUGUACUAUAUUAAUAUUUUUUGUAAGUUAAUGAAGGGAUAAGCUUUAAAAGCUGAUGUGUAGUGAUCUAAGUCAUUCCCUACACUGUAGACU